rnacentral:rRNA from 1 species
GCCAAAAAAGUAUAAGCAUAAAGCUGAAAACUUUAAGGACCUGGCGGUACUCAAUACCAACCUAGAGGGGCCUGUCCAAUAAUCGAUAAUCCACGAAAAACCUAACCCCUUCUAGCCACAUACAGUCUAUAUACCGCCGUCGAAAGCACAUCUUACAAGAGAUGCAGCAAAAAGUUCUACCACAAGCACGUCAGGUCAAGGUGUAGCACAUGAAGGGGGUGAGAUUGGCCACACUACCACACCA